rnacentral:lncRNA from 1 species
GCACUUGACUUGAUUAUUGAGAACCAAAGCAGUGAUUAGCAAUGAGUUUUAAUCCAAUGAAGCAUAAAAAUGUAUAGGCAAAUUGCAACUCUCAAUUUGUGUGAAUGUAUGGUUUCGAUGCAAAAUCUUGAAACCAAGUUGCCAGUCUUCUUGUUGCUCUACUUGACGCCUAACAUGUUGGUUCCAAAGCUUUUUUAUUUGCAUAGUCCAGCUGAUAAAGACCAGGCCAC